AAUAAACCAAUUUUUUACUUUUUAUCUAUAAUUUUUGAUUAUUCAUCUUAUUCAAAAAAAUUUUAUGAUUAAUAUUUUUUUAUUAGAUGAUAAAUCAUGAAUAGUACUUUACGUGUGACUAUUUUUUUUUAAUUUUCUAAAUUUUUUUCAAAUAAGACGGAUGAUCAAAUGUUGGACACGAAAACCGAAG
rnacentral:pre_miRNA from 1 species